UCUGGUAGAGGGUAGGGGAAUUUUCCGGUGUAGCGGUGAAAUGCGUAGAGAUCGGAAAGAACAUCCAGUGGGCGAAGGCGCCUACCUGGACCAAGACUGACGCUGAGGUGCGAAAGCCGUGGGGAGCCAAACAGGAUUUAGAUACCCUGGUAGUCCCACGCCGUAAACGAUGUCAACUAGCCCGUUGGAUUCCAUUUAAGAAUUUAGUGGCGCCAGCUAACCGCGUUAAGUUGACCGCCUGGGGAGUACGGCCGCAAGGUUAAAACUCCAAAGGAAUUGACGGGGGCCCGCACAAGGCGGUGGAGCCAUGUGGUUUAAUUCGAUGCAACGCGAAGAACCUUACCAUCCCUUGACAUCCUCAGAACUUGUAAGAGAUUACUUGGUGCCUUCGGGAACUGAGUGACAGGUGCUGCAUGGCUGUCGUCAGCUCGUGUCGUGAGAUGUUGGGUUAAGUCCCGCAACGAGCGCAACCCUUGUCCCUAGUUGCCAGCAUUUAGUUGGGCACUCUAUGGAGACUGCCGGUGACAAACCGGAGGAAGGUGGGGAUGACGUCAAGUCAUCCAUGGCCCUUAUGGGAUGGGCUACACACGUGCU
rnacentral:rRNA from 1 species